rnacentral:rRNA from 1 species
AGCUCCAAUAGCGUAUAUUAAAGUUGUUGCGGUUAAAAAGCUCGUAGUUGGAUUUCUGUUGAGGUCAGCCGGUGUUCACUUCGUGAAUUAUUUGGUUUGGUCUCGGCAUCCUCUGAGGGAGCACUUUCCUUUACCGGAUUGUGAGACUUCAGACUUUUACUUUGAGGAAAUUAGAGUGUUCACGGCAGGCAAGUGCUUUGAAUACAUUAGCAUGGAAUAAUAAUAUAGGACCUUUGUUCUAUUUUGUUGGUUUCUAGAGCUUAGGUAAUGAUUAAUAGGGACAAUUGGGGGCAUUCGUAUUAACGCGUCAGAGGUGGAAUUCUUGGAUUGCGUUACGACGAACUACUGCGAAAGCAUUUGCCAAAGAUGUUUUCA